rnacentral:tRNA from 1 species
GCGCCACUAGCUCAGCUGGAUAGAGUACUUGGCUACGAACCAAGGGGUCGGGGGUUCGAAUCCCUCGUGGCGCGCCA